rnacentral:rRNA from 1 species
AGAGUUUGAUCCUGGCUCAGGAUGAACGCUAGCGACAGGCCUAACACAUGCAAGUCGAGGGGCAGCAUUUCUAGCUUGCUAGAAGAUGGCGACCGGCGCACGGGUGAGUAACGCGUAUGCAACCUACCUUAUACUGGGGGAUAGCCCAGAGAAGUCUGGAUUAAUACCGCAUAAUAUAUUUGAAUCGCAUGGUUUGAAUAUUAAAACUCCGGUGGUAUAAGAUGGGCAUGCGUAGCAUUAGUUUGUUGGUGAGGUAACGGCUCACCAAGACUAUGAUGCUUAGGGGGUCUGAGAGGAUAGUCCCCCACACUGGUACUGAGACACGGACCAGACUCCUACGGGAGGCAGCAGUGAGGAAUAUUGGUCAAUGGGCGAAAGCCUGAACCAGCCAUGUCGCGUGCAGGAUGACGGCCCUAUGGGUUGUAAACUGCUUUUUUACAGGAAUAAUUGUCGCUACGUGUAGUGAUUUGAAUGUACUGUAUGAAUAAGAUCGCUAACU